GCUUGCUUGUUGGGGUUGUAGGACACUCUAUACGGAGUUACAAAGGACGACAUUAGACGAAUCAUCUGGAAAGAUGAAUCAAAGAAGGUAAUAAUCCUGUAGUCGAAAAUGUUGUCUCUCUUGAGUGGAUCCUGAGUACGACGGAGCACGUGAAAUUCCGUCGGAAUCUGGGAGGACCAUCUCCUAAGGCUAAAUACUCUCUAGUGACCGAUAGUGAACCAGUACCGUGAGGGAAAGGUGAAAAGCACCCCGGAAGGGGAGUGAAAUAGAACCUGAAACCGUGUGCUUACAAGUAGUCAGAGCCCGUUAAUGGGUGAUGGCGUGCCUUUUGUAGAAUGAACCGGCGAGUUACGAUUUGAUGCAAGGUUAAGCAGUAAAUGUGGAGCCGUAGCGAAAGCGAGUCUGAAUAGGGCGUUUAGUAUUUGGUCGUAGACCCGAAACCAGGUGAUCUACCCUUGGUCAGGUUGAAGUUCAGGUAACACUGAAUGGAGGACCGAACCGACUUACGUUGAAAAGUGAGCGGAUGAACUGAGGGUAGCGGAGAAAUUCCAAUCGAACCUGGAGAUAGCUGGUUCUCUCCGAAAUAGCUUUAGGGCUAGCCUCAAGUGAUGAUUAUUGGAGGUAGAGCACUGUUUGGACGAGGGGCCCCUCUCGGGUUACCGAAUUCAGACAAACUCCGAAUGCCAAUUAAUUUAACUUGGGAGUCAGAACAUGGGUGAUAAGGUCCGUGUUCGAAAGGGAAACAGCCCAGACCACCAGCUAAGGUCCCAAAAUAUAUGUUAAGUGGAAAAGGAUGUGGCGUUGCCCAGACAACUAGGAUGUUGGCUUAGAAGCAGCCAUCAUUUAAAGAGUGCGUAAUAGCUCACUAGUCGAGUGACACUGCGCCGAAAAUGUACCGGGGCUAAACAUAUUACCGAAGCUGUGGAUUGUCCUUUGGACAAUGGUAGGAGAGCGUUCUAAGGGCGUUGAAGCAUGAUCGUAAGGACAUGUGGAGCGCUUAGAAGUGAGAAUGCCGGUGUGAGUAGCGAAAGACGGGUGAGAAUCCCGUCCACCGAUUGACUAAGGUUUCCAGAGGAAGGCUCGUCCGCUCUGGGUUAGUCGGGUCCUAAGCUGAGGCCGACAGGCGUAGGCGAUGGAUAACAGGUUGAUAUUCCUGUACCACCUAUAAUCGUUUUAAUCGAUGGGGGGACGCAGUAGGAUAGGCGAAGCGUGCGAUUGGAUUGCACGUCUAAGCAGUAAGGCUGAGUAUUAGGCAAAUCCGGUACUCGUUAAGGCUGAGCUGUGAUGGGGAGAAGACAUUGUGUCUUCGAGUCGUUGAUUUCACACUGCCGAGAAAAGCCUCUAGAUAGAAAAUAGGUGCCCGUACCGCAAACCGACACAGGUAGUCAAGAUGAGAAUUCUAAGGUGAGCGAGCGAACUCUCGUUAAGGAACUCGGCAAAAUGACCCCGUAACUUCGGGAGAAG
rnacentral:rRNA from 1 species